rnacentral:rRNA from 1 species
GACGAACCGUCCAAACGUUAUUCGGAAUUACUGGGCUUAAAGGGUGCGUAGGCGGUGCUACAAGUCGGGUGUGAAAGCCCUCAGCUUAACUGAGGAAUUGCGCCCGAAACUGUAGUGCUGGAGGGAGACAGGGGUGAGCGGAACUGAUGGUGGAGCGGUGAAAUGUGUUGAUAUCAUCAGGAACACCGGUGGCGAAGGCGGCUCACUGGGUCUCUUCUGACGCUGAGGCACGAAAGCUAGGGGAGCAAACAGG